rnacentral:rRNA from 1 species
CAUGAAGUCGGAAUUGCUAGUAAUCACAGGUCAGCAUACUGUGGUGAAUACGUUCCCGGGCCUUGUACACACCGCCCGUCACACCAUGAGAGUUGAGAAUACCCGAAGCCCAUGUCAAAGUGGUCGAAGGUAGGCUUGAUGAUUGGGGUGAAGUCGUAACAAGGUAAC